AAAGCAGGUUGCAAUUCUGCUUCAUUUUGUGGAGUAUAGUCAUUAUCUUGCUGAAAAAUAUCUGUGUUAAUCAUUUUUACUUUGUCUCUAUGAGGAUAAAAUAAUGACAAAAUGACAUGGACAAUU
ensembl:snoRNA